GUCCUUGUAGUAUAAUUUAAUACUUGGUCUUGUAAACCAGACAUGGAGAAUUCUUACUCCCCGGGACG
rnacentral:tRNA from 1 species